rfam:Hordeum vulgare subsp. vulgare, WGS project CAJW01000000 data, contig: morex_contig_64434
CUUAUACUCCCUCCGUCCGAAAAUACUUGUCACAUGUAUGGAUAUAUCUAGAUGUAUUUUAGUUCUAGAUACAUCCAACUUUAUAAAUUUGUGCGACAAGUAAUUCCGGACGGAGGGAGUAUUUA